rnacentral:rRNA from 1 species
CUAGCUGUAAACGGUGCAUGCUUGGUGUGUGUUUUUCAAUAUACGUGCCGAAGCUAACGCGAUAAGCAUGCCGCCUGGGAAGUACGGUCGCAAGAUUAAAACUCAAAGAAAUUGACGGGGACCCGCACAAGCGGUGGAGUAUGUGGCUUAAUUCGAUGCAACGCGAUGAACCUUACCUGGGUUUGACAUUCAAACAAAACAUCAAGUAAUAUUGAUUAGACGUAGCAAUACGUCGGCUUGAACAGGUGC